GACGACGCUGGCGGCGUGGAUUAGGCAUGCAAGUCGAACGGUAUCAUCCUUUCGGGGGUGAGAGAGUGGCGAACUGGUGAGUAACACGUAGGUUAUCUACCCUCAAGACGGGACAACCCAGGGAAACUUGGGCUAAUACCGGAUGUGAGCAACUUUUAGUUGUUUGAAAGGUGGCGUAAGCUGUCGCUUGGGGAUGAGCCUGCGUCCUAUUAGUUAGUUGGUGAGGUAACGGCUCACCUAGGCAAUGAUAGGUAGGCGGCCUUAACGGGUGGUCGCCCACACUGGGAUUGAGAUACGGCCCAGACUCCUACGGGAGGCAGCAGUCGAGAAUAGUCUACAAUGGUCGGAAGACUGAUAGUGCGACGUCGCGUGAACGAUGAAUCCCUUCGGGGUGUAAAGUUCUUUUAUAUGUGAGCAGUGCUUCUUAUAUUAACAGUAUGGGGAGAGAGAUAUUAGCAUAUGAAUAAGCAACGGCUAACUCCGUG
rnacentral:rRNA from 1 species